UGUUUUCUCCAUAAUCUGUGUUUAAGUCAACAUCUGGCACAUGAUGAGGGAGAAAGCAGUCAGCAAGCAGAGGAGUUAGAAACAUCUGGUGACAGUGUGAGUACAUAUGUAGGGAGGCAGGUACGGCAAGAAGUGAUUCAGCGGUAUUUUUCGGAUAACUGAGGUGAUCUGGGCUCAUCAUUCUGUGGACUCGCCAAUAGUGCCUGUGGUGGCUGGGGUGAGACUGCAGAAAUGCGCCGCCUGGGUGGGGAAGAUGGAGCCGCAGAUUCAGAGACAAGACGCCGUGUCUUACUUGGCCUCCUGGAAUAUGUGACUACAGUGAAUUCUUACCUGCAAUCCCAGCAUCAUCCUGAGUUGUCUGUGGCCUGUCUGGCCGGCUGGUCUGUCGGACUGUUGAAAAAGUUGAAAAAACAUUAUGACCAUACUUUGUCAAAAAAUGCUA